CCCUUCCUCCGAUCUCCUGAAUCAUCCCGGCUGUCUUCGUUCAAAGAUCGGCCCGACUUGCUCUUCUUGUCCUCCUGGACGUGACUGAAGAACUCACAAGCCUGCCAGAACAGGAUAUUCUCCUCACUGAACUCUUUCUUUAGGAAUUCCUGCAGCACAAAGAGGUUUCAUUUAAGUCCCUUUCAUAGUUGGAGACCGCUUAUGUGUCCUUGUGAAUGUGCAUUUGCCACCACCCGUCAUGUGCUGUUA